CAGUUCGGUCCCUAUCUGUUGUGGGCGGAGGAUAUUUGAGAGGAGCUGUCCCUAGUACGAGAGGACCGGGAUGGACGAACCGAUGGUGUUCCAGUUGUCACGCCAGUGGCACCGCUGGGUAGCUAAGUUCGGAAGGGAUAACCGCUGAAAGCAUCUAAGCGGGAAGCCCACCUCAAGAUUAGAUAUCCCUCCUGAUGGAGACAUCAGGACUAAAGACCCCUUGUAGACUACGAGGUUGAUAGGUCAGAUGUGUAAGCAUAGUAAUAUGUUUAGCUAACUGAUACUAAUCGGUCGUGAGGCUUGACCAUAAUAAC
rnacentral:rRNA from 1 species